rnacentral:rRNA from 1 species
UAGGGAAUCUUCGGCAAUGGGCGCAAGCCUGAUGGAGCAACACCGCGUGAGUGAAGAAGGGUUUCGGCUCGUAAAGCUCUGUUGUUAAAGAAGAACACGUAUGAGAGUAACUGUUCAUACGUUGACGGUAUUUAACCAGAAAGUCACGGCUAACUACGUGCUAG